rnacentral:rRNA from 1 species
UGGGGAAUUUUGCACAAUGGGGGAAACCCUGAUGCAGCGACGCCGCGUGAUUUAGAAGGCCUUCGGGUUGUAAAAAUCUUUUCUAUGGGAAGAAAAUGACAGUACCAUAGGAAUAAGGACCGGCUAAUUACGUGCCAGCAGCCGCGGUAAUACGUAAGGUCCGAGCGUUGUCCGGAAUCAUUGGGCGUAAAGCGAGCGCAGGCGGUUAGAUAAGUCUGAAGUUAAAGGCAGUGGCUCAACCAUUGUAGGCUUUGGAAACUGUUUAACUUGAGUGCAGAAGGGGAGAGUGGAAUUCCAUGUGUAACGGUGAAAUGCGUAGAUAUAUGGAGGAACACCGGUGGCGAAAGCGGCUCUCUGGUCUGUAACUGACGCUGAGGCUCGAAAGCGUGGGGAGCGAACAGG